rnacentral:rRNA from 1 species
CUGGAGGUAUCAGAAGUGCGAAUGCUGACAUAAGUAACGAUAAAGCGGGUGAAAAGCCCGCUCGCCGGAAGACCAAGGGUUCCUGUCCAACGUUAAUCGGGGCAGGGUGAGUCGACCCCUAAGGCGAGGCCGAAAGGCGUAGUCGAUGGGAAACAGGUUAAUAUUCCUGUACUUGGUGUUACUGCGAAGGGGGGACGGAGAAGGCUAUGUUGGCCGGGCGACGGUUGUCCCGGUUUAAGCGUGUAGGCUGGUUUUCCAGGCAAAUCCGGAAAAUCAAGGCUGAGGCGUGAUGACGAGGCACUACGGUGCUGAAGCAACAAAUGCCCUGCUUCCAGGAAAAGCCUCUAAGCAUCAGGUAACAUCAAAUCGUACCCCAAACCGACACAGGUGGUCAGGUAGAGAAUACCAAGGCGCUUGAGAGAACUCGGGUGAAGGAACUAGGCAAAAUGGUGCCGUAACUUCGGGAGAAGGCACGCUGAUAUGUAGGUGAAGUCCCUCGCGGAUGGAGCUGAAAUCAGUCGAAGAUACCAGCUGGCUGCAACUGUUUAUUAAAAACACAGCACUGUGCAAACACGAAAGUGGACGUAUACGGUGUGACGCCUGCCCGGUGCCGGAAGGUUAAUUGAUGGGGUUAGCGGUAACGCGAAGCUCUUGAUCGAAGCCCCGGUAAACGGCGGCCGUAACUAUAACGGUCCUAAGGUAGCGAAAUUCCUUGUCGGGUAAGUUCCGACCUGCACGAAUGGCGUAAUGAUGGCCAGGCUGUCUCCACCCGAGACUCAGUGAAAUUGAACUCGCUGUGAAGAUGCAGUGUACCCGCGGCAAGACGGAAAGACCCCGUGAACCUUUACUAUAGCUUGACACUGAACAUUGAGCCUUGAUGUGUAGGAUAGGUGGGAGGCUUUGAAGUGUGGACGCCAGUCUGCAUGGAGCCGACCUUGAAAUACCACCCUUUAAUGUUUGAUGUUCUAACGUUGGCCCCUGAUCGGGGUUGCGGACAGUGUCUGGUGGGUAGUUUGACUGGGGCGGUCUCCUCCUAAAGAGUAACGGAGGAGCACGAAGGUUGGCUAAUCCUGGUCGGACAUCAGGAGGUUAGUGCAAUGGCAUAAGCCAGCUUGACUGCGAGCGUGACGGCGCGAGCAGGUGCGAAAGCAGGUCAUAGUGAUCCGGUGGUUCUGAAUGGAAGGGCCAUCGCUCAACGGAUAAAAGGUACUCCGGGGAUAACAGGCUGAUACCGCCCAAGAGUUCAUAUCGACGGCGGUGUUUGGCACCUCGAUGUCGGCUCAUCACAUCCUGGGGCUGAAGUAGGUCCCAAGGGUAUGGCUGUUCGCCAUUUAAAGUGGUACGCGAGCUGGGUUUAGAACGUCGUGAGACAGUUCGGUCCCUAUCUGCCGUGGGCGCUGGAGAACUGAGGGGGGCUGCUCCUAGUACGAGAGGACCGGAGUGGACGCAUCACUGGUGUUCGGGUUGUCAUGCCAAUGGCACUGCCCGGUAGCUAAAUGCGGAAGAGAUAAGUGCUGAAAGCAUCUAAGCACGAAACUUGCCCCGAGAUGAG